rnacentral:pre_miRNA from 3 species
UCUUAUGGAUGAGCAAAGAAAGUGAUUUAUUGAGAUGGAAUCUACUCCUGAUGAAGAUGCUGUGAA